rnacentral:lncRNA from 1 species
AUCUCUCAUCACGCGUCCACUGCUCACUAGAUAAACCACAAAAACGAAUUGUGUGGAUCCACACAUGCUAGAAACCAACUUAUCUUUCUGACUUACCUGCAGGGGGAGCGAAUCUGUUAAAAUGAACAGCCAUGACAUCAUCAUCAACAUCAGCGAAUUGUAAUCAAGCUCUCUAUCUCUCUCUAUAUACCAGGCCACUGUCCUCUCCUCCUAAGCUACGAUCCUCUGAGCUUCUGCAUAUACAUCUCAUGGUCCGAUCAUCAUCAUCAUCAUCAUCAUCUGGUGUUUGAUCACGUCCCGCAGUCCGAAGGCUCAGCCUCAGUGCAGUCAGCCCCAGCUGUGAAAUGUGUUGAGUUAUGAUGUCUAGACUGGCCGGCACCACCGCACACCAGGCCUGGUCCAAUACCAGAAGGUGCUUGGUGUUUGCUGUCAGUCAAGGGAUCUACAGCUGCCUGGGGUUCAGGAAGAGCAAAGGUAAACAAGUGUGUCAGGAAUAAUGAGGCCCCAUAUGCACCCUUUAUCAUUGACUCCAAGUGUCGCUGAACUCUUCUGUCAAUCUACAUGUAUUUACACAAGCUGGAUGGUGAUCAUUUACCGUGUUGACAUCCAGCUCCCGGCAUGGCAACAUUGAACUUCGAGUGGGAGGAUUACUGCCAAGCCCGCAGACAGGCUGCUUGUAUGUAUGGUUCUGGUCGACCCACAAUAAAGUGUGGCUUUACUGCAAGCUGCAAGUUUCACAAAAGAUCAAGUUAAUCAGCCUGCCCUAGCCCCGGCAGAAUGAUUUGCAAAGACACUCAUUAAACCACCUGCGACGAGCCAUCAGAUAGGGGAACCGUACAAUUACAGUGCCAAACCGGCCUCUUCAUCACCUUACAAUCGCAGUUUGGAAGAUGCAGAACAGUGGAAUUGUUCGGGGGUUCUGGACUAGUGCACAAGUUUCUCCUUCAACUGCGACAAAAAGAGAGAGAUACACCAGACACUUACAAGCAAUCACUGCUGUCUACCUGGUGCCUAUUUGAAGCUGCUGUGG